AUAAACCGUAAUAUAGCUAAAAUAAGACAAGAUAAUUGGCCAUGAAAUCCUCUUUCUCUGCUCUAUGCUGUUGCAAUUAAAAUGAUCACCAGAAAAUAUUAAGUAAGUUUUGCAAACUGUGCAACCAGUUUAUCAUGAAAUCAAACAGCCAGGUAAUAGUCUAGGAUUGCAGAUGCUUUGACAUGAACAGUUUGUUGACUUCAAUUGAUUAUUUUUUAUGCCCCCGUUCGAAGAAGAGGGGGUAUAUUGCUUUGCUCAUGUCGGUCUGUUGGUCGGUCUGUCGGUCGGUCCGUCCACCAGCUGGUUGUCAGACGAUAACUCAAGAACGCUUAGGCCUAGGAUCAUGAAACUUCAUAGGUACAUUGAUCAUGACUCACAGAUGACCCCUAUUGAUUUUGAGGUCACUAGGUCAAAGGUCAAGGUCACUGUGACCCGAAAUAGUAAAAUGGUUUCCGGAUGAUAACUCAAGAACGCUUAUGCCUAGGAUCAUGAAACUUGAUAGGUACAUUGAUCAUGACUGGCAGAUGACCCCUAUUGAUUUUCAGGUCACUAGGUCAAAGGUCAAGGUCACAGUGAC